GGAGACCUCCUUGUCUCAGCUGACGCGUUGUGGCUCCUAACUCUCUGCUCCUUGUUCCCUGCCGACUCUUCCUGGUUUGUUUCUCUUCCUGGUUCCCUGAGGAGACCUCCUUGUCUCAGCUGACGCGUUGUGGCUCCUAACUCUCUGCUCCUUGUUCCCUGCCGACUCUUCCUGGUUUGUUUCUCUCCCGGGUUCCCUGCGGAGACCUCCUGGUCUCAGCUGACUGGUUGUGGCUCC